ensembl:lncRNA
AGGCUGCUUCUCUCUGAACUCAGGAGCUUCACCUUGAAACUGAAAGAGUGGCUCCCAUCCGCAUCUACAGAUUCCUGCUGCCCCAUCCCGGUUAAGACUCCGUCUCGUGGGAGGACAAGCAGCCGGACAAUUUAUUACCGUCAUUUCUACGUCCAUUCCGCUUUCCAUUUUGAUAUUAAAUUAUCUGCCAUAAAGUGGGAGGAAUUAUGGUCUGUGGGCCUUUCCCUUCUCCCUGCUCUUUAUGUGGACAGGCUGCUGGGAAGAAUGCCCCUUCUCAACCAGAGGAUGUGGCGGGUCAGGAAGUCGGAGGGUCACACCUCGGAGCCACUUUCUGCUUCUCCAUCGGCCAGUAUUUGCCUCAUGUCUGCCCGGAGGAGGUGUAGGGGUGGAUGGCUCUUUGUGUGGACCACACGAAGCUUCCAGUCUAUUCCAGGAACAUAGGAGACGGGCAUGCUGAGCAGCAAUGCUGUCGGGGGUGGAAGGACCUCUAGCAGCUGGGAUGUGGGGACAGGUGUCCCAGAGCCCUGGGCGGGGUUUCCCAGAAAGAUGGUCAGCACAGCCCCGAGCUGGGCGGUGGCCAGAGUGGGAGGAGGAUGCUGGAAGCCGGGGCGUGAGCCUGGAGCCCUAGCCAGGGGACCCCCAGGCUGAACAGACAAGCGAUCGCCCCAGGCUUGCACCAGGAAGACGGAGGGCCAGGAACCUCUCAUCGUGGACCCACUGCUUUGAAUCUCACUCAAGAGGUGAGGCUGACGACGUGAGAUGUCCUUGGAGGUGAGGACUUUGGAGUUUAUCCGGAGGGCCUGCUCACAGCCACCCCGAGAGGGGCUGUUACGCACGGGCCCCCUCCCAGGUCGCAGCUGUGCAGGGGUGGACUCGGGGCCCCUGGAGCUCAGAGGAGC